rnacentral:rRNA from 1 species
GAUGAACGCUGGCGGCGUGCCUAAUACAUGCAAGUCGAGCGAACAGACGAGGAGCUUGCUCCUCUGACGUUAGCGGCGGACGGGUGAGUAACACGUGGAUAACCUACCUAUAAGACUGGGAUAACUUCGGGAAACCGGAGCUAAUACCGGAUAAUAUAUUGAACCGCAUGGUUCAAUAGUGAAAGACGGUUUUGCUGUCACUUAUAGAUGGAUCCGCGCCGCAUUAGCUAGUUGGUAAGGUAACGGCUUACCAAGGCGACGAUGCGUAGCCGACCUGAGAGGGUGAUCGGCCACACCGGAACUGAGACACGGUCCAGACUCCUACGGGAGGCAGCAGUAGGGAAUCUUCCGCAAUGGGCGAAAGCUUGACGGAGCAACGCCGCGUGAGUGAUGAAGGUCUUCGGAUCGUAAAACUCUGUUAUUAGGGAAGAACAAAUGUGUAAGUAACUAUGCACGUCUUGACGGUACCUAAUCAGAAAGCCACGGCUAACUACGUG